CAAGCCGGAGCCACGCUCUCGGACAACUGGCAGCCCAGCGCGCCAAUCACAGGGGGCGUGGGCGGGCCGCAUGUCAGGCCACAGCCAAUCACGGAGAGGGGGCGGGGCUCAAGGAGCGAUGGAUGUGAGUGAAGUUUCGAGCUCGGGUUUCUAUUUCUGAUGCGUGUAAUUACAAAUAACAGUUUCUUCCUCACUGUUCAGCAUUAAACGCAGCAGAGCUGAGAGGUGACACCUGAGCCGCGCUUCAGAGAAAACGUGUCUGUCAGCGCCCCCUGCUGGCAACGCGACCACGCGCAGCGCGCUGGCCUCACCUGCUUCAUGCGGGUUCCAGCACCAAACGGACCGCGGCUCAGCCCGCUCUGGCGCAGAGGUCAGGAGCUGCAGCGGGAGAAGGCGGGCGCUGCACAGCUGAUCAUGGAGAAACGUCCUGGAUCUGACGCCGCGUUGGGAAACGUGCACCAGGGCGGCUUCUCUGAACGCAGCAGCAUCUGCAGGCUGUGCAGCACAAUGGGCGGUGUGUCCCACAGCCGGGAGCCGUUCUUUGCCCACACACUUUGGGCUAAUGAGCCAAUUCACCUUUUCAUUUUAAUAAAGUGUUACAAAAACAAACAACUCUGUUGCUGCGAGUCCUGUCAUGUCCGUAACAUGUUCCUGAAGAUUCCCUGCUUUCAUACAGAAAUCAUCAGUAACCCACAGGAGAUCCUGUUCCCACAUUCGACACACUCUGGGCAUGGGGGUGAAUGCUGCCGUCUGGAGCGGCACGGUCUAAUCACACAGUUGUCUCUCUCCGUGCACAGCUUCCUGCUGCAGCUUCAGCUCCCGAGGACAGUGGAUCCGUUCUGCAGGCGGUCGGCGCAGGCCGGGUCCGACAGGUGGCCUCUGACACCCAGCAGCAGAUGUUUCCUCCUUAGGAAGCAGGUCCAGAGACUAAAUAUGAGUGCCGGGGGUUCGUCCCAGUCCUGACUCAUAAGUGAAAACCAGACAGACGGAUCAGCGCCGCCAUGGAACCUCCUGGAGGAUGAAACGGCGAGCGUCUCACUGACACAGGGUCACAGUCCUGCUGCAGCCUGUCUGCCUGCUCCUCCACAGCCAGUUCACAGCCAGUGCCUUGCUCAAGGGCACGCGAGGCCGACGCUGUGGUUCAGGGAGUGGGAGAGUUACUCAGCUGCUUCCCAGCAGCAGCGCGUCACUGUGGCUCAUCGUCUGAGGCGUUUGUGGGUGCAGGCGGGUGGAGGAAUCCUGAGCUUCAGCUCAGAUCAGCAUCUGGAUGGAGGCUCCAGCAAAAGUCAAUGUUGUGAGAGGCACGUGCUGCUGAUUCCCUGAUGCCUUUGUUAGGUUGCAGCCUGUAAAGUUCCUCCUCCUCAGAAAGCUGCGUGGGCGGCCUGAGGCGAGGGCUCUGCUGCAGCAUUCGGUGGCGAUGCCAGGGGCAGGAGGGCAGAGUUCAAGCUCCAGCUUUCAGCGCAGGCUUCAUGUUGCAUGCUUGACCCCGGCCUGCGCUCCUUCCACCGCUCACACCUUCAGAGGACGCGCUGUUUGAUCAGCUGACAGCUGGCUGACAGACCGAAGCUCAUUUUCCAUCUCUGCACAUACACUUAUCUCUGGUUUAUGAGUGAGGUGUUGGAACAAGCAUGGCAAAUGGAGCAUUUUUCACCACUUCAGGCCGGCUGCUGCCUCCACGCAGCCCCACACACAUAUUUGCCCUGUUUACGCAGCGAUACAAGCUGCAGAAACAGUCCAGAAAUCAAACAUUUUGACUUAUUAUCAGCUUGUGUGAAUUACGACUGAAAGUUCCCGUCUGAUUCCAAUGAAUCCUCCUGGUGUGGUAAUAUUUGCUUGGGGCAACAAAUGCGAGGCUUGUAACAGUGUUUAGUGACGCACUCAGGUUGGCUGAUGGUUCACUGCUUCUACGUGGGCCACACUCCUGCACAACACUAGGCUCAAGGUCAAGACAACGUAGGAGAAUUGAAGAGUUGCCUCAGUAUUUCCUCUGGAGGUUUCAAUAAACAAGGUUUAUGUA